rfam:Corynebacterium efficiens YS-314 DNA, complete genome.
ACUCGGGCACGAUCCAUGAUGUGUGGAACCGACCCGUAGUUUCAAUCCUGAGGGA